UACGUAGGGUGCGAGCGUUAAUCGGAAUUACUGGGCGUAAAGCGUGCGCAGGCGGUGAGCUGUGUCCGAUGUGAAAGCCCCGGGCUUAACCUGGGGAAUGGCAUUGGAAACUGGCUCGCUGGAGUGUGGCAGAGGGGGGUGGAAUUCCGCGUGUAGCAGUGAAAUGCGUAGAGAUGCGGAGGAACACCGAUGGCGAAGGCAGCCCCCUGGGCUAACACUGACGCCUCAGGCACGAAAGCGUGGGGAGCAAACAGG
rnacentral:rRNA from 1 species